rnacentral:rRNA from 1 species
CCGGAGUGACCUUGUUGACGGCGACGAGCCGCGCUGGCUGACCGUAGAGACCUGGCCUCGCUCACUAACGCACAGGGUCUAGGUUGUCAUAUCAUGUCAUAAGUUCUUCACCACGGUGGGUGGCGUUUGUGGACCCCCCAUCAACCGCCGCUGGGCCGGUAAGUUCAGGCUGGAGUGGAGCCACCGCGGACGCCUAUAAGCCACGGGAGCGGUGAGGUGGGCGGCGCGCUCAAGAACCAGGCGAGCGGCCUCAAGCAGCCCGGCGGCGCUACGUCGUCGUCGUCGUUCCAGAGCUGUAUGUUUUAGACGUCGCCCUCCACUUCUGCGCUACCGAGUUCGGGUCUCUCCAAGAGCUGUAUAACGCCUUGACGCUCGACAAGCCCUAGGUUUUGUCCUGGGGAGUCUCCGGUGGCUCACCAAGAACCAAGGAAAAGUUGGCAUCCCAUGUAGCCAAGAAGGCCUUACUACCCAUAGUUACCGUUUUUUUCUCCUUACCCUUCUCACCAUUGCUUCGUGUGCUCAUGGAAUUCCAACUGUUACAUUUCCGUGACUUAACGAUGAUACGAGCACGUCUUUUAUUGGGAUGUAAGUACUCCGCCUAUAUAACCUACGAACUUGGCCGAAUACUCGUGUAACAAGAACAGGUGAUAUCUCUACACGAUCUCCCGUCGUAAAGUCAUAGUCGUGAUUUGCCAAGUGGUUGUAGGAUAGUCUUACCGUCACGAUCGUCUCGCCUACGUGUAUCAAGUGGCCCCAACUGUUCACUCUAUUAACGCGGUGCAGAGGAGAGCGCGUCGGGUCCUAGGCGCCUUCUUCAAUCAAGGGUCUAGGACUGGUAUUUGUUACUUAGUUUACUAUGUUCAGUUAAACUAACCGCCGCCUACGAACUUUACGUCAACUCAGACCUUUUGUUCCUUGCAGUACUACAAUGACCGCUCUAAGACGGUUUAGUACUAGGAUUAGGAUAAGGACCCUAGGUCUUACUUCUUAAGCUGUGUCCAUGUUUGGAACGUCUAUAGAAAAUACUUGACCUCCUCAAAUCACUUCUGUUGGCAUGACUUCCUUCGGUUGGAAUAGCGCUAGGAUAACUACAGUAUUCUUUAAGUCGUACCAACCUUCUCCUGGUCGAAUUAAGAAAAGACGUAAGUGGAGGACACUGUCAACUACUUUUGGUUACCAAGGUAUAAAUACUCCAAAGAGGUCUUACCCGUAAAACAAGACUUUCACGAUUCCAACAGUAACGUCCUCUGAAGGGGAGGUUAUAAAAUACCCAUGAUAAACCACUACAAUUCCAUGGACGCCUUUAACAGGUCGUUCCACAGUAGGCAACAAUAUGAGGUAGUAUGGAACCACGACCUUUCCACUCUUACACGUACGAGCUACUCUUACCCUUUGGAACGUGACUUCGAGCUCUUAAACCUAAACAACUUUUCGGAUGGUUGUGUUACUAAUAACCCUUGCCCUUUGGGACGUCACUUCGUGCUCUUAAACUUAAGGUUGUCUCCGGAUGGUUUUCACUGUUACUCGACAACAACGAAGAAUUGAUACACGUCUACGAAAAACUAUCAGUACCGACACUUGAGAAGAGUUUCAAGUCCAGCGGUGAGGGUUUACAGGUCAGACCUAAGGGUCAAUUGGGGAGUCUCUAAUAUCCCUCUUGUACACUCGUCAACCUGGUACUCUUACGUCAUUUAACGUAGUACCUUCACUACGAAUUGUCAUUCAAGCUCCUGACCGAUAGUAGGUUUAAACUUGUCUUGUCACUUCCCCACAUAAACGAAGGAUUCGUUAUGGUACCACAAUAUGUAUGUUAACGACGUGACCCUAUGCUGACCCGAGACUUUGGCGACGAAUUAUUACCGCACGGAUAUUUGAUGGCACUACGUUUACCUACCUGGCGAGACGUAACCCGACGUGCUAAGCCUUCCGUUGUUUACCAUCGCCAAGAACAACGACGUCCGCGACGACAUCCACGUGAAAGUCUAGGUUGUCGCCUUCUGGGACGACGGUUCUGUGGACGAAGCUAUCGCAGACGUAUACCAAAGUAUCCGUAGAGACGUAAGGAAAGUCUUCGUCUUGAUUGGUCAUGGAAAGUAAGAGACCUUAGUGUUCUUUUACCCUUUGGGCAUCUAGUAUUACCACCUCACUCAUGUAGAUCACGGCACCUAUCUCAUAGUCUAUUUACGCGUGUAUACCUACCACCUUGACUACUGGUCGAACGUGACUUCCUAAGAAAUCCUCGAUAGGCUUUACGACAAGUUCGACGGCCCACGUAUGUUCGAUGGAAGGCACACAAAAGGAAUUUUUUCUUCUUUGUUUUCCGAGAAGUCUUACCUCUAUCGAGACGAAGCGGUAGAUACGAGCUUUCUCGACGUAAUAGAUAGGUCUUCUUGAAGUCCACGACCUUCUUUGCAUUCCUUAUAGUCUUUCAAGCCUUUUUACAGUAGUUCUAAGUCCGUGCCAAGUCUCGAGUGGCUCUUUCUUUGUUCAUGUUCCUCAAUGAAGUUUCACAACCGUAGGAACUCUUCUAGUACGACUCCACCAAGGCUUUUCCGCAACCAGACGCUCCUUAGUUAUCGUCCCGCUACGGUUAGCUGGUUCUGCUCCUUCUUCUGUAACAGUUCCAAAAGGCGUUCCUUUCUCACCUCUGUCGACAGUCACUCCGACAAAGCUCCCAUAGCCGAUAGCAGCCAACGGGACAGCGUUCCGACCUGAUGGCGUCCUACGAGCUUUACGUGGUUGUUCGUUUCUAACCGGUACCUUUCAUCGACUAGACCGUGGUCGAUACAACUACUGUCUCGUGACCCGUCGGUGAUAGGACACAGGAGGAGGGGACAAUUUACUACUGGACCUUUCGUCGACCGUCGGACUUCUCGUCAUUUUCGGAACCACUGAUCACCUAGGACGGUUUAGUCUUCCUAAAUGGUUGUUCAAAGUCAUGGUAGUGGUUAGGUACUACUUUAACUACAAAGUGAAGUGACAUGUAUUUUUUGGGUUACACGUAUAGGACUGAAGACCGGUUUGAAAUCCUUCCACAUUCCAGACACACAUACUACUCCUUCAUGGUAGACGAAACAUCAUGCAUCAUGGUAGGAAGUGUAAACGAUCCGCACAUGUACCAUUAUUUACACUACCAUUAGGACCUGGCGUCGACUUAACAGUUACUCCUCAUACUACUUCGAGACCUUCGAAUUUAUGGUCGACGGAACACACAUCAUGGGGAAGACCAAUAAAAAUGAGGUGUAUAUUCUAAACAGACUUCAACUUGAAGCAUUUCAAACUGGUACAAAAACGCAGUACUUAAAUUAAAAGUACAACAUAUUGAAGUCAUACCAUAUACAACUAUAAAAAAGUAUAUUUGUCC